AAUCUGCAUUUUCCAUUGCAUCACUGCUGUGGAACUACAGGUCCCAGCAGUUCCAGUUCUGUUCCAGUCUACAGUCUCCUGCAGCCCACAGCUCACCGUGCUCCACCUAACCAGUUCAGUUCUGUUCCAGUUCUGGUUUUCAGUCCUCUGCAGCCUGGAAUGCUGCAGCCAACUCACAGCUGAUCUGGACACCUAAUCCAGCUAGUAUCUCUGCCUGCAGUUUGUGUCCAAUCACUGCUGGGCAGGAGGUAUAACUUCCAGUUUGUGGCUCUCUCACAUCGCCUUGGACAACACGUCACAUCCCGUGAACAGGCGGCUCCUGUUUGCAAUCCUCUGUCUACAGAGAUUUCCUUGUGUAUUAGACCUGUGGAACAACAGGUCCCAGCUGUUCAAGUUCCGUUCCUGUUCCCAGCUGUUCCAGUUGUUCCUGUGGAACUACAAGUUCCAGCAACCCCUCCAGCUCUCCUGCGACAUUCAGUGUGCAAGUUCCUGUGUUCCUGUGGAACUACAAGUUCCAGCAACCACUCCAGCUCUCCUGCUGCAUUCAGUGUGUAAGUUCCUGUGUUCCAGUCUCCAGAUCCCCGUGUUCCUGGUUACCUGCUUGUUACUCCGUGUUCCUGGUUAUCCUACUACAGCUCCGUGGAACUACAAGCAUCAGCAAUUCCUGCAUUCAUUUACAGGCUUCACACCAAUCUCCAACACAGUGUGCUUCAGCCUCAGCUGUAGAGACUCCAUCUCCAGGUGCAGCUCAUCACCUCACCUGUGAAUCAGCUUGCAAGCUGCCUGUGCUUUCCAAUAGCACUGUGAACCCUGCAUCAAGUCUUCUUCAUCUGCUACCAGAUUUUCUUCACAGGUGGACUAGAGAUGCCAGCAGGCCCUUAAUGUCCUGGGAUGAUUUUUAUGAUGUUCUGAUCUUUGUGGCUCAUUUUUUUGCAAUGGGUCAUCUGGCAUUCAAAGCCUUUCUCAAGAAUCUGGGUGACAACUGAACCUGUACUGGUUUCCAUUUUCCUGCUUUUAUGGAGUUCUCAUUCCUGAACAUUUAGAUUUGAGACAGAUUCACACAAUAUAUUUCUCCAUAAACAAUGGAAUCAGGUUACUCAUGCCUUCUCUCUCCUUGCCUCCCCAUAUAUCUCACCCCAAUAUGGAGUAACUGAUAUGAGUACCUAAUGUGACCUUGAGCUUAUAGAAGCCACUUGUUGAGUGCUUCAUCUUAAACAGCCCCCUUUCCUGAAACUACAGUCGUUCACUGGUACUAAGUAGCUGCCAGGAUGUUAUCUCUAAGUAGUGUAAGCUCAACUUCACAGACACAUAUUUAAUGGGAACAGGACACCUUAGAGACUACUAAAACUAUAUACAGAAAACAGCAUGCCAGAUCUUCAAUAUAGCACAGGCAAUCUUCACUGAAAAAUAUGCUCGUUAGUUUUACAAAUAGCUCUAACAAAUAUUUUUCUGGACAAUUCUCUCAAAGAAUACAAGUCUUUUCCACAAUAGAGGAUCAAUGAGAAGUAACAGAUUAUUUAAUGUAUAGCUAAAUACAUUGUAAAUAAAAAAUACACAAUUCUCUCCAAUAGCAAAAAUAUGUUUUACAGAGACAUGAAAUGAUAAGUAGUAACAGGUUUUCUGCAUGCAUCAAAUACCACAAAUAAUUUGCACAGCAGCAAGCUACAACACUAAAUAGAUCUUCAGAAUACUCCAGAUUAAUAGCACUAUAAUGAAAUGUCACAUAGUUCUUUUCAAUAUGCACAAAUCAUAUCACUGAAGAUCUGUAAAAUACUUAGCAGAUAUUUCAAAGAGUCCAGGUUUACUUCACCAUAGAAAUAUAUCAUCUGGUAACAGGCCUUCCAAAUGAUACAAGCAGAUAAACUUUAUUGAGCAGCUCAGAGCAUAAAUUCACUUAUGCGUCAGGAAAAGACAGGAUCUGACUGAUUACAGCCCCCAACAGUGUGUCUUGGGUGACUUCCUAUAAGGACUGAAACAUCCAAUCAGCAGUAUUCUAAUUACAGCUGCAGAAAUUAGGAGUCGGAACGAAGCCUAGUACUAUGAUACAUAGUUGUACAGCUGACUGGUUACCAGAAGACUGAUUCAAGCUUACAAAACUACCCUGACCAUGAUCUAGUGUACUAAGCUGUGCUUAUUACAGAUUCUUACACUAACAGACUUUUCUCCUGGACUGGGCCAUAAUGUAGUACCUCCAUAAAGUUUGUGAUUCAGUUCAGUCAGUGCUGGUUUGGCACCUCUUCCCCAGAGUGACAGAGUCUAAGAAGGCUCAGAUAUCCAUCAGGGACCCUGCAAGCAAAUUGGCUAACCACUACUGAAAGCUCAGAAGUUGUGGACCUAUGGGUAAACACCAGUCAUGACUACCAGGAAGAGGGUAAGGAGAAGUUGCUGUUCAGGUUCAAUAUCAACUGUGCAAAAUUACAACCCUCUGAGUUAAUAUCUUCUGUUCCGGCAAGCAUCUCAAAGUUUUAAAUUAUCUGUAAAAAUUUAGAAAAUUACGUGUUUUUGAAGUUUGGUCGGCCCAACCUUAAAGCUGGGCAU